CAGCUCUGCGGGUAAAUUCGAAGGUACCGCGUCAGGAGCGGCGGGUCCAGAGGAUUCACCACGGGGGUGAAGGAGUCUUGAUUUCCCUGAAAGGCCUGCAAGAAGGAGGACGGCAGUUAUUGGUUGUCUGACGGGAACAGGAACCCUUUCCACCCACCUCUUGUGUCCUCCUCGUAAGACUGCAUCAGCGUCCAUGCAUUCAAGCAUCAAGGUGUUCUGCAGGUACCUGGCAGUUUCUCUGCUCCAGCUUUGGAAUCAGUAAGCUUUCUAAGCACCCCAGCUUCCUCUGACUGGGAAAUGGGACCUAGAGACAAAGCACUGACCCAGGCCGAGGCUCCUGUGCAGUGUGUCAUCUCACGUUGGACACUGUUAUCUCAUGGCAGAGGCACAAGAGACUGAGUCGGACACACGCGUCAAGUUUCUGUUUGGACUUACAUUCCAUUGGUCAAAAUGAGGACUGUUGCCAAGCCCAAAGUCAAUGGAGUUUUCAAGAAAGUGGGCAGUGAACAAUCAAGAACAAUAAUACCUUUUAUCUCAUCUGCUGUUUUCUGUUCGUUUAGAAAUUCUAAUUUCUUGUUCCAGCAGUAACAGGUGGUCUUCUGUAGGGUGGAGCAGUAGGUUUGUUAGUCCAAGAGCAUCCUCUACUGUUGGUAAAGUGAAGUGCAAUAUCUUUAGCAGGUGGGUCGGAAAAGGGACCGGCUUUGCUUUUGCUUUCAUAGGUCACUUGAUCUCCACCAGUUGAUCAUCCCCAGGCCUCCGGCAGGCAUAUCCCCCUUCACCAGGAAUGGUGUCACCUCUAGUCCCACAUCUCUCAAUACUUUUCCUUUCAGUUCCAGAAGCCAAUGCUCUGACCCAUAGGUCUUGAAUGUUAACAUUUCCUCACUCUCUGUGGGAAUUCUUCUCACCAGAGUGAUUUUAUCUGUUUCCUACCACUCAGCAUUUCUGUUUUUUGAACAGUCUCUCCUAGAUGAUCCAGAGUGCACUCGGGAGCUAGCUCAGCUGGCUUUGCUGGUUUAUUCACUACUUCCUUCUAAACAGAAACGCACAGGAUUCUUUGUAUUCUCUCUAUUCUGUAGACGAGUUAUGGGUGGUUUUAUGCAAUUAAAAAUACAUAUUCAUA